AUACUGCUGAAAACUGGAUGAAUAUUCUUUCCAAACAUCGGAUCCUUGGACAAAAGCAACAAAAGAGACAUUCCUUGUACUAAAAAGGCUGGAUACCAGUACUUCCAUCAGACUCCCUAUUUUAAUAGCAAGCCUGGUGAGGGAGUUCCUUCUGAAGGCUCACACUGGGUGAGUCCAGUGCCCAACCAGCCCAUAAGCACAGCAAGGGCGGGCUUCAUGUCUUCUUCACUGUUUAUAUUUCCCUCAGUUCCUCUUUAUUGAAUAGUGGUGAAUUAACAUCUUUUGAUUUAGUCUAUUGUCCCUGAUAGCAUUUUAUUUCCAACCGUGCAAUUGCUGAUGCUUCUGUUUUCUUUUUGCUUUUUCCCCUGCAGCUUAACUAACAUUGACUACUGUGUUAGGAUUAGUCAUUGCUGACUGUGCCAGCCUGCAGCCUCAUAAUCAGAGCCUUGUCACCAAGCAUGGCUGCCUCAGUGACUGGAAUGGAAAUGAAAAUAAAGCAAGUGUUAUUUUCCUCAUCCUGAAGCAACAGAGAACUGCAUCAGGCUUACCAACAUGAACGUGGGUAAGAAGGAGUUUUGAAGUCCAGCAAAGAUUUUAUAGCUAGUGAGGCUGGCUGGAAGCAGGGUCGAUCUGGUCUGAUGUGUUGCAAGAUGUGAACUUAUUAAGGCAUCACAGAGGCAACUCCCAGCGGGGGUGGAGGAGAGCAGCAGGGAUGGAAAGGAAGAAGACUCUCAAGAUAGGAUGCUCCAAAGGAUGAUUGGAAGAGAAGGGUGAUGUCUGGAAGCGAUAAGCCUCAGAUGUUUGUUUGCACCUUACUGGAAAGCCAUGUAAAUUAAUGGAAACUUCCUGGCAAAAUAGCUUGACUUGUAGCAACUUCACAACCAUAACAAUCCAGAGGUGAGGUUUGCCCGCACCCUAUUCAUUUCAAUCCCGAAGGCAAUUUUCCCCUUGGCCAGAGAGAAGCUCAAGAACAAAAAACCAAACACCGCAUGUUCUCACUCAUAGGUGGGAAUUGAACAAUGAGAACACAUGGACACAGGAAGGGGAACAUCACACUCUGGGGACUGUUGUGGGGUGGGGGGAGGGGGGAGGGAUAGCAUUAGGAGAUAUACCUAAUGUUAAAUGACAAGUUAAUGGGUGCAGCACACCAGCAUGGCACAUGUAUACAUAUGUAACUAACCUGCACAUUAUGCACAUGUACCCUAA
rnacentral:lncRNA from 1 species